GAACCGUCCAAACGUUAUUCGGAAUCACUGGGCUUGAAGGGUGCGUAGGCGGUGUCGUAAGUUGGGUGUGAAAUCCCUCGGCUCAACCGAGGAACUGCGCCCAAUACUGCGGUACUAGAGGGAGAUAGGGGUAAGCGGAACUGAUGGUGGAGCGGUGAAAUGCGUUGAUAUCAUCAGGAACACCGGUGGCGAAAGCGGCUUACUGGAUCUCUUCUGACGCUGAGGCACGAAAGCUAGGGGAGCGAACGGGGGAUUAGAUACCCCGGUAGUCCUAGCUGUAAACGAUGAGCACUUGGUCGAAGACUCCUCCAUAGGUUUUCGGCCGUAGCGAAAGUGUUAAGUGCUCCGCCUGGGGAGUAUGGUCGCAAGGCUG
rnacentral:rRNA from 1 species